GAUGAACGCUGGCGGCGUGCCUAAUACAUGCAAGUCGAGCGAACAGACGAGGAGCUUGCUCCUCUGACGUUAGCGGCGGACGGGUGAGUAACACGUGGAUAACCUACCUAUAAGACUGGGAUAACUUCGGGAAACCGGAGCUAAUACCGGAUAAUAUAUUGAACCGCAUGGUUCACUAGUGAAAGACGGUUUUGCUGUCACUUAUAGAUGGAUCCGCGCCGCAUUAGCUAGUUGGUAAGGUAACGGCUUACCAAGGCAACGAUGCAUAGCCGACCUGAGAGGGUGUUCGGCCACACUGGAACUGAGUCACGGUCCAGACUCCUACGGGAGGCAGCAGUAGGGAAUCUUCCGCAAUGGGCGAAAGCUUGACGGAGCAACGCCGCGUGAGUGAUGAAGGUCUUCGAAUCGUAAAACUCUGUUAUUAGGGAAGAACAAAUGUGUAAGUAACUAUGCACGUAUUGACGGUACCUAAUCAGAAAGCCACGGCUAACUACGUG
rnacentral:rRNA from 1 species